rnacentral:lncRNA from 1 species
AGAUAAAUUUCAGUUCAUAUAUAAUUAGUCUCAGUGAGAAAGCAUGUGGAGUAAGUAUUUUUUCCAUCUUAUCUAGAAGGCCUUGGGGAGUAGAGUUUUAUAGACAAGGAUGGGUACCUAUCAUCUGAGAGAAUGCGCAUCAUUUGUUGAAGAACAAUGGCCGUGAGGGUAUGCUUUGGCUAUUAAAGAGUAACAACUCAUAUAUUCUGGAGUUUGUUGAUCGAGAUUACAGAUCUCACUAAGUAGAGCAGUAAAAUAGCUGGCUGCUUAUUAUCUAGCGAAUAGAAAACUAUAGAUCUCCUCCAGCACGAUUGGAAAAGAUCAGGUGAUAAAGG